ACAGAUCUAAUCACAGCAUCUGUUCAUAGUAGGCAGUUGGCAAAUCUGAGCCACCUCCCCACCUCACCCCCUCCAACAUUUGCCCAUAAUGCUUCUCCUUCCCUCAGGCCCAACUUCCAUCAAAUAUUGUAAACUUUCCUAGGAACAGAACCUUGUCCUUUAUUCCCUAUGCUUAGAAUAAUGUGGCAAAGGCUGGGUAUAGACAAGUCAUUUAAUAGUUGACCUUCCAUAUUAAAUUUCCAUUUAUAUCUAUCUAUCUAUCUAUCUCUUUCUCUAUCAAUAUUUUCCCUUGAGUCUCUAUCUUUAUACAUAUAUACAUAUGCACGCAUAUAAGUAUAUGCACAUAUAUAUUUUAGCCUGAAAGUUUUUGCAUAAAUUGUAGCAAUAAAAGUACUAUCUUUGGAGAAGAGAUAAGAGAUAAGAAGUCUUGGUUACUCAACAUGUUGAGCCAUGAUUCUUUGGCAAGCAGGACCUUAGUUCUUAGGGUUCCAUCUGGAAGACAAAGCGUCCUCCUUUUUGCAAUAAUGUCUUAUCUGUCUAUGAAAGAUAAAGGGGUCAUCUGAAGUGGCAGAGACCUGAAAUGUUAGUUCCAAGAAAUUUUGUUGCUAGUUUUUAUUAUUCUUCUCUGGAUGGAAUGUAGCCCCACAAUUAAGUUUGCUAUCUGACUCGGGUUUUAUUUCACUUCAUUCUCAACCCAUCUAGAGUAGUUUGUAGAUUAGUUUUUGUGUUUUGGAAAAACAAAGAAUAUUGGAAGAUUCAAAUAAGGCUUUAAGGAAAUUCAUCAUUAAUUUGGUAAAUAACAUCUUCCUAGAAAGAAUGUUUAGCUUUGGCCCUUUCAAUAUCAUCAGUUUUAGGAAGUGUAUUAUCUAGUUUGGUAGCUCAGUUGUAACUAAUGUCUUCUAUAAUUUCCUCUUACUCACAUGCCACAAAGAUAUUUCCCUGGAGCCUCAAUGAUUUCACCCCUGGAUAUAGAUGGUAAAGAAGAGAGUAGUACAAAAUGAAGCUGAAGAAACAGGCUGUGAUCAGAUUAUGACAGGCCUUGAGUUUUGGGCUUUAUUUUGCGGACAAAAGGGAAUUUGAGGUACAGAAUAGUGUGAGGGAAAGCUAAAAAGCAUGAAGAGAAUGAUGUUAAGGUUUGAAUUUCAAGGCCAUGGGAAACCUCUGAAGCAUUUUAAGCUAGCAAUGGUGGACUUGAAUAUAUUUGUAUUUUUAAACAACAAAGAUGUUUGCCUUGUGAAGGAGGUUGAGGUGGGAAUGUGGAGAGAGAGAGGCUAAUUAAGAAUAUGGCCUGUGAUGGCCCACAUGAGAACUGGUAGAUAGUAACCCGGUUUAAGCAAAGGAGAUGGUGAGGAUAAAGGUCACAUUCAAGAGACAGGAAUAUUUCCUAUGUAGGAAAUAGGAUUCCAUGUGAUUCUGAGUAUGAAGAGAAAGAGGAAGAAAAUAAAGAUAAUACCCAGUCAAAGAACAUAAGUUAUUUAGAAACUGGGUAUAACUGAUUUAAAAUCAAUGUGAUUCUGAAAACGGUGGUCUCAGUUGGUUUCUCUUAUAAUAUCACACCCACCACGAAGCUGUGCACACAAGACACCAUCUACAAAUUAUGUCGGCUGGUAGCACACUCUCCAAAGGAAGGCACCGAGGGUGCUUCCAAAAAUACAGACCCACCUCAUCUGCAAAUGUUUUCAUGGCAAUGGAUGACUUACCCUAUUUACAAAACUUAAUCUACCUGAUUGGUAUUAUUCCACAAAGAUUUGAUCUGGCGGGCAGUGAAUCCAGGUCCCUCAGCUUUUCCUUCUCUAUAUGAAUCCUCCACCAGAUAUUUAGUAAGACAGUGACAUGCAAGAAAAAUCAUCAUUGAGAACUUUGGAACACAGUGGGAGGUUUGGUUGAAGAUGAGUUUAUAACAGCUGUGGAGAUAAAACUGUAAACAUUUACUUUUUCAGCUCCUUCCUGUCCUUUAUUUCCAUUGAUAAGAAAAAGCUGUCUGUAACUGAUUUCCAGGCCGAAGUACAAGAACAGCUUCCCACUGUCGCUAGUCUCUGGGUGCCUCAACAUCCCUUGUUUGUUUCUUUAACCUGCUUGUAACCUGUAAGUAGGCAUUUAUCAAACUGUCUUUAUGGAAACUUCUGGGGUGGAUUUUGUUCUUGCCAGGAUCCUGACUAAUAUAUAAUAUUAUAAAAUAUUUACAUAAAGUCCAGAAAGAUCCUCAUGUAGACUCUAAGAUAUUUUUCACAUGAAAAACAAAAACACCCAAGUUUUUUAAUCAAUCUCCCCACAAGAUGUCCCAGAGAUGUUUGGAUUUUAUUUCUUUGAAGCUCUAGAAGGUCUCACACAGGAGCAUCAAUAUCCUCUGAUGAAACAAUUUUUAAGCAGAAACUCAUUAUGAAAAUAUCUUAGAAAGGGUGAGAAACCCCAGAGGAUACUUCAUGCAUUGUUCUUUUCCUUUACGUGGUUGAUGACGUGCAUUUUAAGUCAGAAGAAAGGAAAACAUUCAGUAAUUCUGGCUUUUCUUAGGCAAUAAUGGGUUUUGCAGGUCUGGGGACAGGAUUUUAUCUGAGGGGUUAGAGUGUACAUGGAUCAGAGCUUUGUGUCACACACACAGAACACAAUGAGGUGUCAGCAAUCUGCAGUCUGGGAGGAUGCUCACACGAUCCAGCAUUGACAUUUUGUGACUCACUUUACCUCCCCUCUGCUCUAGUAACAAACAUACUACCAAGUGGGGAGCUAUAAAUGAGUCCAUUUCCUGCAAAUAAGAUUUUAAUGAGAUUCUUUAGCUGGUCACACACCAACGUGAGAUAAUAAAAAGUUGAUUGUUCAUCUCCUCCCCCCAGCGCUAGUGAUAGUCCAUGUUCUUGAAACAUACCAAAUUUAAUUAAGCUUACAAAAUUAUAAUGGGACAAAAAAUUAGGUCAAAAUAAGUCUGUCUCCAGUGAUGGUGACAGGGACUUUUACGUACAGCCAAGUGAUCUCCAGCAGAACGUCACUGCUGCUUGACCUAAUGUCACGGAAAACAUAACAUUUUGUAACCGUCAUGCUUCAUUUGGCAUGGCUUGGCUAACUCACUCAUCCUCAGGCUUAAAAAUAGGGCAUUGAGGUACGUUAGAGAAAAAGGAAGUAACAUUCCAACCCUCUCUCCGUGGGACUUAGAAGGUCUACAUGGGAAACCAUUUGUUUUCUC
rnacentral:lncRNA from 1 species